GAUGUCUGGAUAACUGUGGCAAUUCUAGAGCUAAUACAUGCAAUCAAGCUCCAACCUUCGUGGGACGAGCGCUCUUAUUAGACCAAGGCCAACCUGCUGGGCAACUGGCAGUUAGCUGUGGUGACUCUGGAUAAACACAGUUGAUCGCACGACUUUACGUCGGCGACGUAUCUUUCAAGCGUAUGCCCUAUCAGCUGUCGACGGUAGGGUAGCGGCCUACCGUGGCAUCAACGGGUAACGGGGGAUCAGGGUCCGAUCCCGGAGAGUAAGCCUGAGAGACGGCUUACACAUCUAAGGAAGGCAGCAGGCGCGCAAAUUACCCAAUGGGGAAACCCUGAGGUAGUGACAAGAAAUAACAAUACGCGACUCUUUCGAGGCCGCGUAAUUGGAAUGAGCACAGUCUAAAUCCUUUAGCGAGGAUCAAUUGGAGGGCAAGUCUGGUGCCAGCAGCCGCGGUAAUUCCAGCUCCUAUAGCGUAUAUUAAAGUUGCUGCAGUUAAAAAGCUCGUAGUUGACAAU
rnacentral:rRNA from 1 species